UCUUUUUGCAAGUUCCUUGGCCAUUGUUUGAUGGUCGAUGAGAAUGAACUAAAUCCCGCACAUUCAGUAUGUCAUCUUUGUUAGUAUUUCAGUAAUUCUAUAUUAGUAAAAUCCCCUGCUACUACACACCUCAGUAACAGAGUAAUUCCAUCUUAGUAUUUCCUCCAUCCUAUUUUGUAGUAUUUUCAGUAAUUCUCUAUUACUAAAACCCCUGCUACUACGUACCUCAGUAUUGAGUAGUUAGGCAUGUAGUAUCAGUAAUUUGUUAGUUUAGUAGUUAGACCAGUAUUUUUUUCGACUCUUUUGAGCACUGAUGAUAUGAACCGAGUAGGUAGUCUAGUAGUUUAGUAAUGAAAUACUAGACUAUUGAGCUGCAUGAGAUUGAAAUAGAGCUCAGUAACUAAAACUACUGAAACUAAAAAAACUACUAAGCUCGUGCAAUUUUAUAUUCAGUAACUCAACAUAGUUUGAAUAGGCUAAUUCCUAAAUCAUCUAGAGCCAGAUACUCAACAUAGUUUGAAUAUGCUAAUUACUGAAUCAUCUGCACAUUUUUUUACCUAUAUAUAUGUUCUAGGUUUUUUCGGGGUAUAUUGGAAAUGGAGACACGCUAAACCCGUCAAGCUAGUCAUUAAACAAGCAACGGCGCUGACAAAUUGAGAGUUUUACCGGUGGUAGGUUUAUGUGGCAAUAACACCCCUUUCCGACUCAUCGUCUUAUGCAUACGACAGCGAUAGUACUGAAUUUCACAAAGGAGAGGGGUUCCAAGUGAAGAGAAAGAUACUUUAUGUGUUUUUUAAGGCUUUUUUUAUUUUUGGAGGUUGCAUGAGAUAGUUAAUCAUAACUAAUAUGUGUACAUAUGCAUAGUCACCGCCCAACUAUAUGUAUAUCCUUGGAUUCAGUAAUCCAGUAAUUAUGUACAUGUACUAUUCGGCAUUAUGUACUUUUUCCAGUAAUUUCUCAGGUUUUUCUAGUAACACGCCAUGUACGUGCUGACAUUCAAUAAUUGGGAGAUCCAGUUA